rnacentral:rRNA from 1 species
UUCUUCCUCCCUCUCCUCGCAUCGGCCCCUUUGGUUCCUUCACGCACUAGAUCGGCUCGCCAUGGUCGUCAAGGUAGUCGCGGCCACCGGCCUCCCCAAGCCUUGAGGCCGCGUCCAGGAGGACCGCCGCUAUCGACCUCGUCCAUCCCGAGCAUCAACUCGAGUGGAGCCGCCCUUUACACUCGCCAUCGCCACCAUCUUCACUUUGUACAUCGUCGUCGUCCGCCGCCGAUUCCCGCCACUCCGGUCCACCUCCGACCUCCCCGACUUCGUCAUCGAGCUUGCAACGAUGAAGCCCAGGAGCCAGACGCCACUGUCGAUGAUGACUACUACUACUCGAGAGGUGCCUACUACUACGUGCAGCCCGCUGACGACGACCAGGAGUAGUUUAGGAGGAUCCUGGGCAGAAGGCAUGCGCCUCUUUUGAUCUGUAUCCCAGUUUGUGCUAGCCUUUUUAAGGCAAACAUGUUUAACUUAUGUCUGUACUCAGAUAUUGUUGCUUUCGCUGACUCGUCUAUGAUUGAGCUCUUGUAUUCGAGCCCUUGAGGCCCCUGGC